UUUUUUUUUUUUUUUUUUUUUUUUUUUUCC
rnacentral:ribozyme from 1 species